UAUGUAGGGUGCAAGCGUUGUCCGGAAUUAUUGGGCGUAAAGAGCUCGUAGGCGGUCUGUCGCGUCGGCUGUGAAAACCCGGGGCUCAACCCCGGGCCUGCAGUCGAUACGGGAAGACUAGAGUGCGGUAGGGGAGACUGGAAUUCCUGGUGUAGCGGUGAAAUGCGCAGAUAUCAGGAGGAACACCGGUGGCGAAGGCGGGUCUCUGGGCCGUAACUGACGCUGAGGAGCGAAAGCGUGGGGAGCGAACAGG
rnacentral:rRNA from 1 species